rnacentral:pre_miRNA from 1 species
AGUGGAAUUGCUGGGUCAUAUGAUACAUUUGUUUAACUUUUUGAGGAACUGCCAAGCUGUUUUCCAAAGGGGCUGCACCAUUUUAUGUUCCCAUUAGCAAU